CUCAUCUUCGAGUUCAAUAAGUUUGAGAUUAUCGAAUCGUGUUCAUUAUUUUUCUUCAUAAUUAGAUCCAAUUUCCUUGUACUAUAUAAUUUUCUCGAUUUUUUUUUGUUCUUCGAUCAUGUUGGGAAGAUUGUUAGUUCAUGAUCAAAUAAAAAUUUUGAGGUUAAUGUAUAUUGUGUUAUCAAAUGUAACACAACAGAAUUUAUGUAUUGGAAUUGGAACAUGUUGAUUAUCCAAAAAAUAAAUUGAAUUUGUGAAAGCGUGUACAAGUCUCGACAAAAAUUCUGAAAAAUUGGAAUCCUAUAGGAGAUGGAAAUAAAUCACUCUUUGACCAAGGAGGACGAUAUUAUCGCGGAUGCGUGCACGAUACACGAUAUUUACAAUUUCUGAUAAUCCAAUGGCAUGUGAAAUAUCGUAUGGAUGGAAAAAAAAUGGAAUUAGGAGUCGUGUGAAUUUGCAUGCUAUCGGAGAGGGGGAAUGGAGGAAAAAGACAAUGUUAAAAAUACGGAAUUCUUGUGCCGUGGGGACAUUCAGUUCACGAAUUCUUUUUUUUUUUCUUUUUUAUUCGUAUUUCGUUGGAUGUUGCUGGUGUUUGUGCAGCUGGAAAACAGAACCUCCUCGACUGGGUGGUACUAAAAAAAGAAAGGGGACAGGAGGAAAUAUGGUUAAAUAUUGGGAAUACGUUUAUCUUCGAAUGCGAUUAAAAGUUUGAUGAAUGCUCUGCACCGAAGGGAGAGAUUAAAGGGCGAAUUUCGUGUCGUACCACAUCUUUCCACGUAACGUGGCGCUUUAAUGGAUUUUUUUAGGGGACUUCCGGUAUUAAAUGAACGUCGUUAAUGGCUCCAUAUUCGGUUUUUUUUCCUUUCGAAGAACGGAAGAAAAAGUUUAAUAUUGUAAAGUUACGUUGCACCGAAGUUUUGUGGAUUCGGCAAAUUGGUUUGAUAGAUCGUGUUGAUGUCUGCUUUCUUCUUCGAUGUAAUUGUAAAAUUAAAAAGUGUUAUUAAUGUUAUUAUGAAUAAAUAAAGUAAGUCAUUU